AAGCUACUCCCUCCGUUCGGAAUUACUUGUCUCGAAAAUGGAUGUAUCUAGAACUAAAAUACGUCUAGAUACAUCCAUUUUCGCGACAAGUAAUUCCGAGCGGAGGGAGUAGCUA
rfam:Triticum aestivum genome assembly, contig: Triticum_aestivum_CS42_TGACv1_scaffold_361292_4DS